rnacentral:rRNA from 1 species
GACGAACGCUGGCGGCGUGCCUAAUACAUGCAAGUAGGACGCAGUUGCGAACGGGUGAGUAACGCGUAGGUAACUGCCUAUUAGAGGGGGAUAACUAUUGGAAACGAUAGCUAAUACCGCAUACUAGUAGAUGGACCUGAGUUGUAUUAGCUAGUAGGUAGGGUAAUGGCCUACCUAGGCAACGAUACAUAGCCUACCGGGGAUGGGUAUCGGCCACACUUGGACGGAGACACGGCCCAGACUCCUCCGGGAGGCAGCAGUAGGGACUCUUCGGCAAUGGGGGGCACCCUGACCGAGCAACGCCGCGUUAGUGAAUAAGGUUUUCGGAUCGUAAAGCUCUGUUGUUAAGGAAGCGGUACUUAACCAGAAAGGGACGGCUAACUACGUGCCAGCCGCCGCGGUAAUAC